rnacentral:RNase_P_RNA from 1 species
UAAGACUGGCAAUCGCGUAUACCUUCGCGGUAUAUGAGGAAAGUCCGGGCUCCACAGGGCAGGGAUGCCGGAUAACGUCCGGCGUAGGUAACUAUAGGGAAAGUGCAACAGAAACACACCGCCGAAACGGAUCAAGCCGUGGCAAGGGUGAAAUUGUGAGGUAAGAGCUCACAGAGACACAUGGUAACAUGCGUUUCGUGUAAACCCCAUCCGGAGCAAGACCAAAAUGGACGUGAAAAGCGGCUGCCCGUCGCUGUCCGGGAGGUAGGUCGCAUGAGCCUGGCGGCAACGUCAGGCCAAGAUAGAUGAUUGUCUGAUACAGAACCCGGCUUAUGUCU